GAAAGGAGAGGAAAGAAGGGGUGGGUGGUGGAGAAAUAGCAGGUGCGUGGAGAGGAGGGUAUCGGAGAGCGAGGUGAGCGGCGGACGCGACUGGACACCCGGGGACGAAGACGGAGGGGAAGGAGUAGAAUAAUGAAAGGAGUGGUGCGGCUAGGCGGCCAAACAGAGCGUUUGGGAUUGGGAUCUCAGGCGAAGCGAGGAGGAGGGGGUUGUUCUAGAGAGAGGAUUAGAAACCUACGUGGCCGAGGCUACAGACGGGGUGGUGGGGGGCGGAGGAGGCUGCUACUACCAUUCGGGCGGCUGCUCCUCCCGCAUCUCUAGGCGCUCCAUACCCGCUUGUUGGAGCUCCGCCUCAAGCGGCACUAGGCACUGCAGCAGCUGCUAAUGGGCAUGUAGCGGUACCUGUGGCUCAAGGGCCCGUAGCACACGGCGGGCGAGCCCUCGAAAGCGAGGUUACUGCUCAUGUUGAUGCGGUGGGAGUUCCGGUUGCAGCUGUACGACUCGGAGUAGGUCGAACCAGAGUGGGAGAGGCUGCUCUUGCCGCGUGAGGGCCGGUCCCCGUGCCCCCCCGCGGGGACGCGGACCGUCAAGUUGAAAGCCCCGAAGCUAGGCGCGAGUCUGGGGCGGUUGCGACUGAGGUAGCUGGACGAUGCGUUGUCGCCCUAGCUGAAGCUGGCGAAGUGGUGGCUCCCACGACUGUGUCCGGUGAAGCGGCUCGACGAGUACAGCAGCCCGCAGGACGAGUUGCGACUCGAGGUCACCCAGUGUAAGGUGUCGCCCAUGCUGAAGCCCAUGGACGAGUUCGACGAUUGGCCCGCCUUGGAUGGGCUGUGGUACGGACCUAAGAAACUGGAGUAGUCUUAGAUGAAGGGACACGACAUGCUGUAGUUCGUAGAGUACUUCAUGACGCCGUCGGAGGUACCACCGAACUCGUUCGAACCACUCGAUGAACCACAGGUUGCACACCCCUAGACGGUGGUCCGACCCAGGCUGAGCGACGACUGGAACGUCACGAAGGUUUUCGACUUCCUCCGUAUAAAGUCUCCUAGCUGGCUCUUAAUACGGCCACAUAACAUACCAGAAUAAAGACUACCACCCCUCUUGUCUGGUGGUCGUCGAGACGAGUAGCUUACUCAUUACCUAUCAGUUUAUUCUGUUACAAUACCAACUUUUUUUCCUUUACAAAGACAACUUAUAUACGAGAGACUAGACUUAUAAACGAACACCAACGGUAUCAUAUCGAUAACAAGGGUCAAUUUACUGAGAGCAACGAUAUAGUACCAUCAAGACAACUUACGAGCCAGAAAGGGAAACUCGACAUACCCUGUAGAUAGUUCCAAACCCUGUCGGGAACUACACAUGCUGACUUUUAACUUGACAACACGUAAAACCCCCCUCGGGUCAGUAAGUAUAUCUCCACAGUUGGUAGACCAGAAUCAAAACGACGGUAUAACGGAAAGACACCUUAAGUUACUUGAGAAGUAACAAACACAACUAAAAGUAAGAAGUCUUACUUACUAAAAGUAUAACGUCGAGUUUCAUCAACUAAUUAUAAAAAAAGUCAGAUCUGAUAAUUCAUACAGGUUUGUAUAGUAACGAACGUGUCGGGAUCGUGGAGAAUAGUUGGUAACAUUACCUAUAGGACGUUCUAUUUGUGAUAAACUGACCGAGGGGAAUUAAUGACCCUGAACUGACAUUACAUCUUACAAAUAAAAUCGUCGGAAAAUCCACGUAUCCACGUGUUGUACACAAGAUAGUAUGGUCAAAGAACGAAAUAAAGCGAUUGCAUAGUGUUUAUGGUAAAGUCAUUUACGUCUCGAACUAAGUCGCAAGAUGAAACCAAAACAGGGUAUGACCCUUGAUGAGGUAACUAUAGUUUGGAUGUCAAAAAGAGAAGCGUCCACUAUUCUAUUCUAGCAAACGAGUAAAUGUCACCGGUAACUCCCGAAGAAACCUAACAUCCUUAAUUUGGAUGUCAAAAAGAGAAGUGACCACUAUUCUAUUCUAGCAAACCAGGAAAUGUCACCGUUGACUCCCGAAGAAACCUAACGCCCUAAAAAAAAUUGUAUCCUUAUCCUUUUUUAACCUAACUCUAUCGUACAAGAUACAUAAGAUGUCCCAAUGUUUUGUGUCCUUAAAAUAUUCUACACAGAAAUCUACCACGUUUACCUUUACUUAUCAAAAUCCCAAAGAAACCUAACGUCCGUAAAACUUUGCAUCCUUAUCUUCCUUUUUUUUGAUAAACUUAACUCUACUGUACAGGACACUUAAGGUUGAUCUGAAGUUUUGUGCAACUUUCUACCAUGAAGAUCGAAUCAACGAUCACGGUAAAGAAUACUGACAAUAAUAUACAACAAUCUAAAAUUAGUACAACACAUAGUAGUAACAUUAUUCCUCUCGUUGG
rnacentral:rRNA from 1 species